rnacentral:rRNA from 1 species
GAUGAACGCUGGCGGCGGGCCUAAUACAUGCAAGUCGAGCGAACAGACGGUAAGCUUUCUCCUCUGACGGUGGCGGCUGGCGGGUGAGUGAGACGUGCAUCACCUUCUUCUAAUACGGGGAUGACUUCGGGAAACAGGUUAUAAUACUGGAGAAUAUAUUCAACCGCAUGAAUCAAUAGUGAUAGACAGUUUUGCUGUCACUUAUAGAUGGUGCCGCGCCGGAUUAGCUAGUUGGUAAGGUAACGGCUUACCAAGGCGACGAUGCGUAGCCGACCUGAGAGGAUGAUCAGCCACACUGGAACUGAGACACGGUCCAGACUCCUACGGGAGGCAGCAGUAGGGAAUAUUCCACAAUGGGCGAAAGCCUGAUGGAGCCACGCCGCGUGAGUGAUGAAGGUCUUCGGAUUGUAAAGCUCUGUUAUUAGGGAAGAACAGCUGUGUAAGUAACUCUCCAUGUCUUGACGGUACCUAAUCAGUAAGCAACGGCUAACUACGUG